AACGGCCAUACCAUGGUGAAUAUACCGGUUCUCGUUAGAUCACCGAAGUCAAGCAUCAUUGGGCGCGGUCAGUACUUGGGUGGGUGACCACCUGGGAAUACCGCGUGC
rnacentral:rRNA from 1 species